UGCUUACUUCAGAAGCAUGCCGUCUGAACUGGAGCCAUAGAGGGCAGAUUAGCAUGGCCCCUACACAAGGAUGAUAUGCAAAUGCAUGAAAGCACCCCAAGUCCUU
rnacentral:snRNA from 1 species